AGAAUCAACGCUGGCGGCGUGCCUCAGACAUGCAAGUCGAACGCGAAAGUUUCCUUCGGGAAACAAGUAGGGUGGCGCACGGGUGAGUAACACGUAGGUAAUCUACCUUUGGAUGGGGAAUAACAACCGGAAACGGUUGCUAAUACCGCAUAAUGCAGCGGCACCUAAUGGUGACAGUUGCUAAAGCGGGGGAUCGAAAGACCUCGCGUCUAAAGAGGAGCCUGCGGCGGAUUAGCUAGUUGGUAAGGUAACGGCUUACCAAGGCUACGAUCCGUA
rnacentral:rRNA from 1 species